UUUAUUUCCUAGCACUAUAAAUUAGAACCUUGAGAUGUUAGGAAAUAAAUAAUUAUAGAAAAUGAGAUAUUGUUGAUAUGAUUGUGCCUUUGAUUUUAUUCUUGUCAAAUCCCUUGAGUUAAGCCUUU